rnacentral:rRNA from 1 species
GCAUAUCAAUAAGCGGAGGAAAAGAAACCAACAGGGAUUGCCCCAGUAACGGCGAGUGAAGCGGCAACAGCUCAAAUUUGAAAUCUGGCUCUCGGGCCCGAGUUGUAAUUUGUAGAGGAUGCUUUUGGUGAGGUGCCUUCCGAGUUCCCUGGAACGGGACGCCAUAGAGGGUGAGAGCCCCGUCUGGUUGGACACCGAUCCUCUGUAAAGCUCCUUCGACGAGUCGAGUAGUUUGGGAAUGCUGCUCUAAAUGGGAGGUAUAUGUCUUCUAAAGUUAAAUACCGGCCAGAGACCGAUAGCGCACAAGUAGAGUGAUCGAAAGAUGAAAAGAACUUUGAAAAGAGAGUUAAACAGUACGUGAAAUUGUUGAAAGGGAAGCGCUUGUGACCAGACUUGGGCUUGGUUGAUCAUCCGGGGUUCUCCCCUGUGCACUCUUCCGGCUCAGGCCAGCAUCAGUUCGCCCUGGGGGACAAAGGCUUCGGGAAUGUGGCUCUCUCCGGGGAGUGUUAUAGCCCGUUGCGUAAUACCCUGUGGCGGACUGAGGUUCGCGCAUUCGCAAGGAUGCUGGCGUAAUGGUCAUCAGUGGUCCGUCUUGAAACACGGACC